UACAGAGGUCCCAAGCGUUGUUCGGAUUCACUGGGCGUAAAGGGUGCGCAGGUGGUCGGGUAAGUCUGACGUGAAAUCCCGCAGCUUAACUGCGGAAUGGCAUUGGAUACUAUUCGGCUAGAGGGUUGGAGGGGGGACUGGAAUUCUCGGUGUAGCGGUGAAAUGCGUAGAUAUCGAGAGGAACACCUGCGGCGAAGGCGGGUGGCUGGGCCGACACUGACGCUGAGGCGCGAAAGCCAGGGGAGCGAACGGG
rnacentral:rRNA from 1 species